UAAAAUCCCAUUUAAGCGUGUCAUCUACAGAUAUAAAUAAUGUAAUAAAUAUUUGUGGCAUCUGGAGCGUGUGCGAAAGAGGAAGCGCCGUACAUAAAAAGCAUAUCAGGACCAAAACCAAGGCCGGUGUGAAAGAAAGGAGGGGCGGACGGGGGUCACAUCCAGAAGGUCCUCACUUUUUCAAAAAGUCUCCACUCCAUUAUUGUACACGUCUCCAUUACUUUCACUGUGAUUGAAAUAAAUGUUUAGGCGCUUUCUUGGCACCCAAACAAGCGUGGACUUUGUGCAGCAGCACAGCGUUAUGAGUGUGUCUCCAUCCAUUGUCUAAUAAAGUUAGGCGGGCACUCACGAGUGCCACUCACAGAGAUACGCUAGUUUUUCUGUUGCUGUUUUUUGCAAUCUCAGUGUUCUGCUGCACCUCUGACAGUCACUACAGGACAUAGAUAUGAAGGAAUCUCAGCAUUGUGUCAAGUAGUUGAGUUUUUCUUUUCUUAUAGGUUUUAUGUUCUGUUUUUAACUUUUAUCCGUCGCUGAAGAUUGCACAAUUUUUUCACCCCUCUUAUGAUCACAAAUAUAAAUUCUGCAUUGUU